GAUCAUAUCACGUUCAAACACCGCUUCUCUUAAGAUUACCGAAGUUAAGCAACGCAAAACUGGUCAGUAACUAGAUGGGUGACCGCUUGGGAAUACCAGGCGCUGUAAG